UAUUCUAAAAGAUAUGCAGUGUACACUAUUAUACACAAGUGUUUUACAUACAAACCAGCAUGUAGUGUUCCGUCUGUUCCCCGGUUCCCCCUCUAGGUAGCGUUUAAUGGUUUAUUCCGGUCACGCGAGUACAAUCUGUCGUCUCGAGGUAGAAUCUCAAAUUUGAAUGGCGCGAAACUAACGGCUGUUUUUUUUUUAUAAGAGAAAGAAACGCCUCAGAGAACAACCGGUCUGUUUUCAUGGUUAAUGGCCAGGUGGUCUGAGCGGGAGAAUGCCCUCUCGCAGAGGUGGCACUGGAAGGGCCUGUGUCCCGUGUGCUUCCUGUAGUGGCGCGUCAGCUCGUCGGACCGGGCGAACUUCCAGCCGCAGCCCUCCCAGGUUUCCAAUGAACGAAGGACAGGAAGAAUGAGAACAUGUCUGUGCAAGCUUUGGCGUGGCCAUCAUCCACUUGGCCUCCUGUGGAGCUGCACUGACCCUGCCCGAUUAUAAUGCCUGGUCAGAAGAAUCUGCACGUUCUCACAGUCUCCUAAAUCACUGGCAUGUCAUUCCACCACCAAAACCAAAAGUGCCAUCUUAAUAAAUAGUUGACUAAACUA